GACGAACGCUGGCGGCGUGCCUAAUACAUGAAAGUCGAACGAAGCUGUUUUAACUGGUGCUUGCACCGACUUAAACAACUGAGUGUCGAACGGGUGAGUAAAACGUGGGUAACCGGACCCAAAGCGGGGGAUAACAUUUGGAAACAGAUGCUAAUACCGCAUAAUCACAGAAACCACAUGGUUUCUGUGUCAUAGAUGGUUUCGGCUAUCACUUUGGGAUGGACCCGCGGCGUAUUAGCUAGGUGGUAAGGUAAUGGCUUACCAAUGCAAUGAUACGUAGCCGAACUGAGAGGUUGAUCAGCCACAUUGGGACUGAGACACGGCCCAAACUCCUACGGGAGGCAGCAGUAGGGAAUCUUCCACAAUGGACGAAAGUCUGAUGGAGCAACGCCGCGUGAGUGAAGAAGGUUUUCGGAUCGUAAAACUCUGUUGUCAGAGAAGAACGUGUGCGAGAGUAACUGUUCGUGCAGUGACGGUAUCUGGCCAGAAAGCCACGGCUAACUACGUGCCAGCCGCCGCAGUAA
rnacentral:rRNA from 1 species